rnacentral:lncRNA from 1 species
GUGUUCACAUAUUGUCUUUUAUACCUAGAGACGGAUACUGAGCCACAGUGUUUUGAUUCAGAUCUGGAAAUGGACUUUUGCAGAGGUGAUUCGUGUCCCAUGUGACCCUCGGCUUAGACGGCAAAGAAGGUGAGCUUUUUGUUAAGUGGCCUACAGUAUUUCGAGAAUACUGGAAUAGACCUGAAGAAAGAAAAGAAGCUUGCACACCCAAUGGCUGGUUCAAAACAGGUACUGUGCUGGUCCCACUGGGGUGUGCACGAACAGCUGGAGGGGAGAGGAAGUCGGUUUGUUCCACAGCGGUCUUCCUGCUGGCUGGUUCGUGGAGCAGUGCCAGCAUCGGUGUCAAUAGGGGGCACCCGGCAGAUCUUUCCUCCCUCUCCCAUCUGACUGGAAGCAAGGCACAGCCACAGUGCCCAGCUGUAGGAAGAAUGCAGAGUCAACUUAGAAAAUAGCCUGAUGAACUUAAUGAAAAAUUCUGCUUUGUAUCAUCUGACAAAAUUGCUCUGUGGUCCCGAUAACUGCUCCUGUUAAUUCUGUUAGCUUAGAAACCCUACUGGAA